AGUGAACGCUGGCGGUAGGCCUAACACAUGCAAGUCGAACGGCAGCACAGUAAGAGCUUGCUCUUACGGGUGGCGAGUGGCGGACGGGUGAGGAAUACAUCGGAAUCUACUUUUUCGUGGGGGAUAACGUAGGGAAACUUACGCUAAUACCGCAUACGACCUACGGGUGAAAGCAGGGGAUCUUCGGACCUUGCGCGAUUGAAUGAGCCGAUGUCGGAUUAGCUAGUUGGCGGGGUAAAGGCCCACCAAGGCGACGAUCCGUAGCUGGUCUGAGAGGAUGAUCAGGAACAUGGGAAAUGAGACAAGGUGGGGACUCCUACAGGAGGAAGCAGUGGGGAGUAUUGGACAAGGGGCGAAAGAGGGAGCGAGCGAUGGCGCGUGAGUGAAGAAGGCAUUAGGAUUGUAAAGCACUGUGAGUUGGGAAAAAGAGCAGGAAGCGAAUACCUGGCUGUCAGGACGGGAAGAAAAGAAUAAGCAACCGCUCAAUUAGUG
rnacentral:rRNA from 1 species